ncrna:unclassified sequences S15-Flavobacteria ribosomal protein leader
UACAUUUGCCGCCGUACAUAAAAAUCAUUAAAACAAUAUUGGAAUG